rnacentral:rRNA from 1 species
GAUUCCCCUAGUAACUGCGAGUGAAGCGGGAAAAGCUCAAAUUUAAAAUCUGGCGGUCUUUGGCCGUCCGAGUUGUAGUCUGGAGAAGUGCUUUCCGCGCUGGACCGUGUAUAAGUCUCUUGGAACAGAGCGUCAUAGAGGGUGAGAAUCCCGUCUUUGACACGGACUACCAGUGCUUUGUGAUGCGCUCUCAAAGAGUCGAGUUGUUUGGGAAUGCAGCUCAAAAUGGGUGGUGAAUUCCAUCUAAAGCUAAAUAUUGGCGAGAGACCGAUAGCGAACAAGUACCGUGAGGGAAAGAUGAAAAGCACUUUGGAAAGAGAGUUAAACAGUACGUGAAAUUGCUGAAAGGGAAACGCUUGAAGUCAGUCGCGUUGUCCGGGACUCAGCCUUGCUUUCGCUUGGCGCACUUUCCGGAUGACGGGCCAGCAUCGAUUUUGACCGUCGGAAAAGGGCUAGGGUAAUGUGGCACCUCCGGGUGUGUUAUAGACCUUAGUCGCAUACGGCGGUCGGGAUCGAGGAACGCAGCGCGCCGUAAGGCAGGGGUUCGCCCACAUUCGCGCUUAGGAUGCUGGCGUAAUGGCUUUAAACGACCCGUCUUGAAACACGGACCAAGGAGUCUAACAUGCCUGCGAGUGUUUGGGUGGUAAACCCGAGCGCGUAAUGAAAGUGAAAGUUGAGACCUCUGUCGUGGAGGGCAUCGACGCCCGGACCUGACGUUCUCUGACGGAUCCGCGGUAGAGCAUGUAUGUUGGGACCCGAAAGAUGGUGAACUAUGCCUGAAUAGGGUGAAGCCAGAGGAAACUCUGGUGGAGGCUCGUAGCGAUUCUGACGUGCAAAUCGAUCGUCAAAUUUGGGUAUAGGGGCGAAAGACUAAUC